rnacentral:tRNA from 1 species
AGUCCUGUAGCUCAGCGGUUAGAGCACUCGCCUCGAAAGAGAGAGACCUGGGUUUGAUUCCCGGCAGGGCGA